UACGGAGGGUGCAAGCGUUGUUCGGAAUUAUUGGGCGUAAAGAGCAUGUAGGCGGCCUGUUAAGUCUGGUGUGAAAGCCCGGGGCUCAACCCCGGAAGUGCAUUGGAUACUGGCAGGCUUGAGUAUGGGAGAGGAAAGUGGAAUUCCGAGUGUAGGAGUGAAAUCCGUAGAUAUUCGGAGGAACACCAGUGGCGAAGGCGGCUUUCUGGACCAAUACUGACGCUGAGAUGCGAAAGCGUGGGGAGCAAACAGG
rnacentral:rRNA from 1 species